ACUCCUGCGGGAGGCAGCAGUGGGGAAUUUUGGACAAUGGGCGAAAGCCUGAUCCAGCAAUGCCGCGUGAGUGAAGAAGGCCUUCGGGUUGUAAAGCUCUUUUGUCAGGGAAGAAACGGUGAGAGCUAAUAUCUUUUGCUAAUGACGGUACCUGAAGAAUAAGCACCGGCUAACUACGUGCCAGCAGCCGCGGUAAUACGUAGGGUGCAAGCGUUAAUCGGAAUUACUGGGCGUAAAGCGUGCGCAGGCGGUUUUGUAAGUCUGAUGUGAAAUCCCCGGGCUCAACCUGGGAAUUGCAUUGGAGACUGCAAGGCUAGAAUCUGGCAGAGGGGGGUAGAAUUCCACGUGUAGCAGUGAAAUGCGUAGAUAUGUGGAGGAACACCGAUGGCGAAGGCAGCCCCCUGGGUCAAGAUUGACGCUCAUGCACGAAAGCGUGGGGAGCAAACAGGAUUAGAAACCCCUGUAGUCCC
rnacentral:rRNA from 1 species